UACGGGGUGCAGCAGGCGCGAAAACUUUACAAUGCUGGCAACAGCGAUAAGGGAACCUCGAGUGCCAGGUUACAAAUCUGGCUGUCGAGAUGCCUAAAAAGCAUUUCAUAGCAAGGGCCGGGCAAGACCGGUGCCAGCCGCCGCGGUAACGCCGGCGGCUCGAGUGGUAACCGUUAUUAUUGGGUCUAAAGGGUCUGUAGCCGGCCGGAUAAGUCUCUUGAGAAAUCUGGCAGCUUAACUGUCAGGCUUUCAGGAGAUACUGUCUGGCUCGAGGCCGGGAGAGGUGAGAGGUACUUCAGGGGUAGGGGUGAAAUCUUGUAAUCCUUGAAGGACCACCAGUGGCGAAGGCGUCUCACCAGAACGGACCUGACGGCAAGGGACGAAAGCUAGGGGCACGAACCGGAUUAGAUACCCGGGUAGUCCUAGCCGUAAACGAUACUCGCUAGGUGUCGGCCACGGUGCGACCGUUGUCGGUGCCGUAGGGAAGCCGUGAAGCGAGCCACCUGGGAAGUACGGCCGCAAGGCUGAAACUUAAAGGAAUUGGCGGGGGAGCACCACAACGGGUGGAGCUUGCGGUUUAAUUGGAUUCAACGCCGGAAAUCUUA
rnacentral:rRNA from 1 species